CAGUAGCCACGGGAAUACGAAGGGUGCAAGCGUUAAUCGGAAUUACUGGGCGUAAAGCGUGCGUAGGCGGUACGGCACGUCGACUGCUGAAAUCCCUCGGCUUAACCGAGGAACGGGCAUCGAUACGACCGUCCUGGAGGGACGUAGGGGGACCUGGAACUUCCGGUGGGGCGGUGAAAUGCGUUGAGAUCGGAAGGAACGCCCGUGGCGAAAGCGAGGUCCUGGACGUCUACUGACGCUGAGACGCGAAAGCUAGGGGAGCGAACGGGAUUAGAUACCCGGGUAGUCCCUGUCUCUUAUU
rnacentral:rRNA from 1 species